CUGUAACAUCAAACAACAGCCUGAAUUUAAUGAAAAGAUUUGUUGAGACAAUGUAUUUCAAUGCAUUUAUUCAGCAUUAUUUAAGGCUACCCACUUUUUAAAUAUGCUGUUCACAAACAAUGCCAAAGAUGGCUUUAUACCUACAGAUGACUGAAUCAUUGUGGUUUAUACGACUUCCCUUGAACUUGCCUCUGUUUUGGAGGACAUUGCUUGGAAACUGACAGUGACAGUUCAAAUCAUCUGGCUUUAUUUUUUUCCUCCCUGCAUCUCACAAAGUGAGAGAGUGGCCAACUUCAUCAAAUUAGUUGCUGUGAAUUAUAUUCUUAGCUCUGUCCUGAUUCUCUGAAAUACCAAUGUUUCAAACACUAGAUAUCUACUAGAAGAGGACAGAGUUCAAGAAAGUAAGUAUUUAUUUAUAAGUGAGGCACUACAGCAUUAACUGUUGUGUAUCAAAACUUUAGAGUGAAAUCCAAAAGUUUUGGGUAAUUUCUUGUGCUUCCCCUACAGGCCUGGGCAAACAGACACAUUACAUGGAACCUCAAAUCCUCCAGGCUGUGCAGAAAUCUGCUCAGGACACUAAGCAAGCAAUUCAUCAAGAGAACAACAAAGGCUGGAACUGAAAGAUAAAACAUCCAGUAUUAUCAGACCUUUGAGUAAACAAGAAACCCCCCAGAAUCCCUGAAGAACAACAAAUUUUGAAAGCUUUCUACGUGACUUCGGACUCUUGAGCUUGGAUUACUUGUGAAAAUCUAAUACUACUUGGAAGAAAAAAAAAAGUGGCAGUUCCAGCUACUAAAUAGAUUGUUUUGGGAAAACAAAACAAAACAAACAAACAAAAAAACCACAAAUAAACAAAAAAUAAAAGUAAGAGUUAAGGAGAUAAAAAGAUAAAAGACAAUUUACCUUUCUUACUAAUUUCAUUUCUGAUUUCAGAUAAGGACUCUAUUAUGUACUAAAGUAAACACAAUGGUGGAACACUAUUUCCAUAGUGGAAUGUGACAUCAUGUAGUCAUUGGUAUCAUAUUUAUUUUUAGGUAGGAAUCAGUAACUCAACUAUUGGCUACUUAAAUCUCUCUGUGUAUUUUUUUUUUUCCUCCCCUCUCACUGUAUGUGAGGUGCUGAUUUCCAUGAUGUAACCUGAAUUUGUCUGAAUACUCAUGUAUCUUUCACCCCUUUUUUGACUUCUCAGUGUAUUUACUGUUAGGGAAUUUGAAAAGAUGGUUCUUGCUUGCUUAUAAAAAACAUGGAUUAACAUCUGUUUGGGGAACUCCGGGGCCAGGGCACAAAAGAAACUACAGUGGUUAUGGCAGCAUCACAUAUAAUUUUCUGUACAAUUUGUGCUUUUCCUGACCCCCUCUCCUGUUUUCUUGUAGGCACUCUUUAGGUCCUAGGAGGUAGGUAGGUACAAGGUCUCCCUGGAGUUUUCUUUUCUCCAAGCUUAACCAUCCCAGCUCCUUCAGCUUGCCUUCACAGGAGAGGUGCUCCAGUCCUCGUGGCCCUCCUCUGGACCUGUUCUAAUACAUCCAUGUCCUUCUUGUGCUGAGGGCCCCAGAGCUGAAUGCAGGGCUCCAGGUGGGGUCUUACGAGAUCAGAGUAGAUGGGGGGAGUCACCUCCCUUAACCUGCUGGCCACACUUCUUUUGAUGCAGCCCAGGAUACAGUUGGCUUUCUGGUAUGCAAGUGCACAUUUUUUACUCAUGUUGAGCUUCUCAUUAACCAACACCUCCAGGUCCUUCUCCUCAGGACUGCUUUCAAUCUGUAUUUGUGCUUGGGAUUGCCCCAGCUCAGACACAGGACACUGAACACUUGGCCUUGUUGAACUUCAUGAGGAUUGCACAGGCCCACAUCUCAAGCCUGUCCAGGUCCCUCUGGAUGGCAUCCUUUUUCUCCAGCAUGUUGACUGGUGUCAUCGGCAAACUUGCUGAGGGUGCCCUCAACCCUACUGUCCAUGUUACCAACAAAGGUGUUAAACAGUGCUAGUCCCAGUACUGACUCCUGAGGAAUACCACUUGUUACUGGUCUUCACCUGGACAUCAAACCAUGGUCUUAAAUUCUUUGAGCGUGACUGCACAGCCAAUUCCUUAUUUGCCAAGUGAUCCAUCUGUCAAAUCCAUGUCUUUCCAAUUUAGAGACAAGGAUGAUCCAACUUGCCCACAAGUCACCAUAUAACCUGCUCCAGUUAACCUAGAUCUUCCUGAUUGGAAUGGGAUAAAAAUCAGGACUAGAAAAAGUACAGGGAGUUCCUGCAGUAAGGGAGAGUUAUGAGCAGCUGGAAAGAGACAUAUGGAAGAAGAAAAAAGAUAACCUGCCACCAAACUAUUUUGAAGAAAUUAGAGUGUCUGUGAUUCCAAGGCUGACAGCUACCUCGCAGUGAAAUGCUGCCAUGAAUGCUGUUUCCCUUUCUCUGCUGUGAUCAGGAUAUCAAAGUGCUAGGAUCUAUUUCUAUAGCAUAUCUACAAGCUAUGAACUGACAGGACUUAGCUGUUUUAUAGUUCUUCAUAAGGCAUAGUACAGUAUAAUGUUGACAUAUAAAACUACUCUGCUUUAGAGCAAUGAGCAGACUGUAGCCAAGAUAUUCUAGAAGAGUAUCUGUUUAAUUGCUUUUUUAUCAAUGGAAGAUGGUUGAAAUGUGAUCAGGAAUGCAACUUAAACUCUGAAACAUAAUCUGCUGCUAUUUAUAUAUUUAUAGCAUGGAGAAUAGGACAUUUUUUGUGUUUUAGCAUGGCAGCCAAGUGAACCUAUCUUCUGGAAUAGCAAAUCAUAUGAAGUCAUUCCAUCUUUGGUCUCAAAGAUCACAGAAUCUGUAAUGACCAGAAUGUCUAAAUUCAGACUGUUUUUCACACGCAGUUUAUUUCUCAUUUAUUAGGCAGUGAAGAAAAUACUCAUUCUUUUCUAAUUUACCCAUUCUUGCAGAGAAUCCACAAAUGAUCCAUAAUUUAAUCAUCUGUUUCAGGGUAUCAUGGAUAACACAAUAACUCAUACUGUUUUUCCACCAGUACAUAGAGAAGGACCCAGUUAUUCUGAUAUAUACCCUUAUACAAUUUGUUUUUGGAAAAUAGUAUGUUUCUGGUAUAACAAUAAAAUAACAAAUAAAGCAUGUUGCAAAUCAAUAGCAAAUCAAUCAGCAACAAAGCAAAUGAUCAGCUGAGGUGUGCUAAUACACCAGUGCAUGUAUGUGCUUAUGCACAAACACCAACAACGUGGGUGUAUGGCAAUUUCCAAGCCUCUUCUGAUGCUUUCUUCCAAGUUGGGCAUGAUGCCAGUUUCAAAGAGAAGACCUUUCAAGCAACUUACCUUAUAGAGAAAGGCUGAAGCACAGCCAAUGCUAAUUCUUUCUUCAGGAAAACUCCACACCAUUAAAACACUGUUUAAGAUCACAUAUAAGCCUAUCUGCAGUUUUCACUGUGGAAACUUCAUGUCAAAAUGUGAUGAUAAUAAUUACACAUAGCUGUAAAGUUCAGGUCACUUAGGGGCAAAUCAAGCAAAUUUUGUACAAUCAUUUUAGUAGUUUUGCUGAGCUGAUCUUCUAGUUAAAACUGCACUGCAGUUGUGGGAACUAAAGCUAUUAUUACAUAAUUUCCAAGGAAUUUAAAGUAAGUCUGAAGCUAGCAGGGACUUGUCUGAACAUGAAGGAAGAAG